CGCCAUCUUGAUUGCUGAUUCGCGCGAUAGCGCACGACCAAUCAACGUGUUCGUCUACACCGAGGCUUCCUAUCGCGACGAUUUCCACGGAAUCAGGGAACGCACCACUGAGAACUAGAACCCCUUUUCCAGAAAUACCUGAGUAACAUGUAUAUAUUACCAUUACAAAGAUGAGCCAUAAUCUGCACUACGAAUCAGACAUAACAAGAAACGACAUUGCGAAGAAUAUGCGAAGUGUAACAGCUCGACACAAUGUAUGACAGCGGUGGAAAUAUGUCAAGGAAUUACUCAGGGGGGAUUUGCUCUGUAACUAUAUUUUCCAGAUUCGAAGAUCGCAGAAUAACAAAAAUUGGUAAACUUAUCGCGACGUUGAGUGGUCGUCACUUAUGCGAGAUCGUUUGUCACACGUGCUACUUCGUUUCUUACUAUUUCGGUACCGGGAAUUCCCUCGUGCAUGCACGGUUCUUUGUUCUUAUUUCGAUAUACGUAUAUUCGCCACAAACACACGUACAACGAACUCGGCUCAUACUCCGUCAGUUCGGAGCAACGUUCAACGUACGUGUGAACGCACUUUGUACACGAAUUAAAAAGAGAAAAGAGUAGUAGUACACGUGGCCAGAGCUACCGUGUGCAAGAUGCAUGGGAAAAAGGCCAUAAAAAUUAUCGUAAAAACAUGCCGCGUUAGAGCUAGACGCUCAUAAAAUUUUAUUAUUGCUGUGUCCUUUUUCUUUUUGGAAAUUUAUCUAAUAAACUUAGACUCUUUUCUUUUAUGUUAUCUUAUACGAAUCACAACUUGAAAAAUGUUAUUUCUAAAAUAUUUAUUUAAUAAAAAAGGAAAAAUGAAAAUCUUCUUCUAGAACGCAACUAAAGGUCCAGUUUUAUCUUUUCGAAACUUGUUACAUUCUCCAUUACAGAUGUUAAAAAAAUAAAACAAUAGUCAGUUUUAAAAUAAGAAUAAAUGGUUACCAGUCUUCACGUGUUUCGUAACAUUUCUGCAAAUUCCGUGUAUAAAUAAGAAUGCUAUUGAUAUUGUCGUUCGAUUAAGUAUGUCUCGAGCUAAGCUCCAAGAAGCAGACAUUGUGAUUUAUAAUCAUGUAUCGCACCUUUAAAAAGUAGUAUCACGUGCGACAGUUUAACAGGGCGAAAGUUACCCUCUGACCAGCUUAGGACGUAAAACCUUUAUCGGUUCCUUAAGGCGUAUAGACGGUAAAUACAAAUCCUAAUAGAUUUAUGAUCCUGCUUUGCUGAAAAGUUUUCCAGGCAAAGGCGCACUGUGUCAACAAAGUAUGAUUCAUAGACAUUCAUAGUUCGAGGUAAACAGAAAAUAAAAAAAAAAUGAAUUUAAGAUCAUUUUUUUAUGUGGUCUUCACAACACAUUAAACCUACCUAAUUGGAAUCUAUAUAUUUUCAUUCAUUUUUAAUUUUUCAAUUACACAAGCUUCUGAUUAGAACACAACCCGGUUAACAGACUAAAGGCGAUUCCUCGAUGAAUCGUGUCAAUCACGUAGUAAGAAGAAUCGAUGACCUCGCUUACGGCAACGUUUACCAUCGACGACACAAAGGAGUAGAAAACCGAAGAUCGACGUCGCGAAUGGAUCGCGGCUUUGUUCUCCCGGCGAACAAAGAGACAUUUUAAUGAGCACGCGGCCGAAGCAGCGGGGUUAAUCGAAUGUUUGUAGGUAAACCAAAAGAUCGGCGCAAGCUGCACGCGUGGCAUAACAAUAGUCGCCGAAAAUCAUACGAGGGAAAGGCGGAAGCCUUGAUCGGCCUUUGUAUGGGGAAAACUCGUUGUACUCAAAACACAAGACAACGACGGUAUUUUGAAUAUUUAAGGGAACAAAGAGGAAUAGGCAAUCAGAAACACCGCCAUGAAUCAGUCGAUUCUUCGUCUUCUUCUUCUUCUUAUAUACGUGUCAAAGGAUCCGCAUGCUUUUACUCUAGCCACGGAUAAAACACGAACGCCGAGCAUUCUCUAUCGGGAAUAAAAGGAGAUACAAUGGACGGAGGAAACACCAGGAAACAAGAUUAUGCCUUCGUGACUUUGCUGCCGAUCAAAUGCUUACCGAUUCCCGCGCAUCACGUUCCACCGACUAAUCGAAAGCUUUGAGUUCUAAGAAUACUUGGAUGCGUUCGUAGCAGAUAAUCCUUUGGACGAGGCUGUGUUUCACCGUUUUAUGGCUUCUUUUGAAGGAAAUUUUAGUCGACGGCUGCCAUGUUGCGACUUUAGUUGUCGAUAAACAAUUCUUCAAAGAAAAUUGGAAAAUCUUCCAUUAUGAAGUAAAUAUUUAAAAAUAAAAGCCUAAUAUGUA